rnacentral:rRNA from 1 species
GACGAACGCUGGCGGCGUGCUUAACACAUGCAAGUCGAACGGAAAGGCCUCUUUCGGGGGGUACUCGAGUGGCGAACGGGUGAGUAACACGUGAGUAACCUGCCCUUGACUUUGGGAUAACUUCAGGAAACUGGGGCUAAUACCGGAUAGGAGCUCCUGCUGCAUGGUGGGGGUUGGAAAGUUUCGGCGGGUGGGGAUGGACUCGCGGCUUAUCAGCUUGUUGGUGGGGUAGUGGCUUACCAAGGCUUUGACGGGUAGCCGGCCUGAGAGGGUGACCGGCCACAUUGGGACUGAGAUACGGCCCAGACUCCUACGGGAGGCAGCAGUGGGGAAUAUUGCACAAUGGGUGGGAGCCUGAUGCAGCAACGCCGUGUGCGGGAUGACGGCCUUCGGGUUGUAAACCGCUUUCGCUCAUGACGAAGCUUUGUGUGACGGUAGUGGGUAAAGAAGCACCGGCUAACUACGUG